rnacentral:lncRNA from 1 species
CAAAACCCAGUGUCACAAAUGCAUGAGCAUCAACUAGGAAGUAAAAUAAAAUACAGCAUCUGUCCGGAAUACAAAUUAGACAGGAAAAAUAUAUAAGUAACUCCGAAGGAGACUCUCCUGGUUGCGGAUCAUAAUAGGGGAUGCAUCUCACCUAAUUCCCCGCAAUAACCGUGUCUCUGUGCUCACAAGGCCACUAGACAUAUAUGUACCUGCAAAGAAAUGUGCAGCAAGUAUAGUAUGAGUACGUAAAUCAACGCUUACCCUGUAAGUAUCUUGUCUAACCUAGAAGAAGUAGUGACGAGGGGUCGACUCCGACACUUACUAUUGGCUAACAAUAAAAUACCGAUAUUAUACUUAAGCAUGGAUUGUAUGAAACAAUUGUAAACGCAUUAACAAGAAGUGAGUGGACAAUUCAUUUAUUAAUAGAAAAUUUUCCAAAUUUAUUCUCGUCAUCUAACAUUUUGUAUCUCAGUCCAAUGAAGCAAUAUCAAUUNUUAUAAUUCCAAAGUAUUUAUCAUGCGCAAAUCAUGCCAANNNNNNNNNNNNNNNNNNNNNNNNNGAUAUAUCUAUCUGCUGCCGGGGCGUUCAUCCCGCUCCACAAAAGAGUAAAUACAUUUACAACAAUCAAUUCAAGAUUUAUUAAGGGGCAAUUAUUCAAGGGAAUACCAAAUUCUCAUUAACGGUCAAGAAAAUGAAGUUUAACCUUUUACAAUCAAGUUUUAAUAUGAUUUAAGCAAUUAAAUUAACAAGUAGGGUGCAAACAUCGCAAGUAUAACAUGAUUUGAGUCCUAGACUACCCGAACAUAAGCAUAAUUGUACUACGUAAGGACUCUCGUCACGUCGUGCGUACGUAGACCCCACAAAUAGAAGCACAUAUUAUAUCAAUUUACCUAUGGGGUUAAUUCCCUCUUACAAGGUUAGAAAAGAGACUUACCUCGCUCCGAUAUUCCAUAACCGGCUCCAAAGCCUUUCCAACAACUCAAACCGAUGCCUAUCGCUCCAAAACUAGUCAAUAAAUGUGCAAAUCCAUAAAUAUAUACUCUAAUACUCCUUAUAAUUCAAUUUACAACAAUUUCCAACUCCGCUCGAAAAGCCGAUAAAAAUCACCCUCAGGCCCACGAUGCCCGGAUUCCGAAACUUUUCGGAGAUAGUCGCUACCCAUAACAGUACGAACUCAAAUAUAUAAUUUAUUCUUAAUUUCAUGUCCAAUUUCGUGGUCAAAUUCCAAAAAUACCAAAUUCUAGGUUUUCUACCAAAAAUCCCAUUUCUACAAAUUUCCAUGCUUAAAUCUGUAUAAAAACCAUGUAUUUAACUUACAAUAGGUCGGAAUAACUUACCUUGACAUAGAUGAUGAAAACCCCCACUUGAAGCUCUCCAAAUAUCGCCCAACCAAGAGAGAAUGGAAGACAAUGGGCCAAAUCCCCGUUUUAAAGAAACCUCACUGCCUAGCACGAAUUCCUGUUUUGCGGUGCGAAGGUCGCUUUUGCGACAGCCGCUUCUGCAGCUCCAUGUCUCGUACCUAUGAGAAACCAAGCCAAGGUCGCUGGCCGCUUCUGCCUCCCUCAUGCGCAUCUGCCGCUCGUCGUGCACAUGUGUGGUCCCGCUUUUGCCGAACUUGACCGCAUCUGCGGUCCCAGCCUUCCCCGGCCAAUUUUGCUUCUGCACCCCCUCUUGGCCGCUUCUGCGGCUCCGCACCUGCGGCCAAAACCUCGCAGGUGCGGUUACACCAGAUACCAUCGGCUUCAUCAUUCCUUUAGUCGAAAAGUUGAUCGGUUAACAAUCUGAAAUCCACCCGAGAGCCUCGGGACCUAAACCAAAUAUACCAACAUGACACGAACUUGCUCGAGGCAUCAAAUCACAUCAAACAAUGCCAAAACCAUGAAUCACAUCCCAAUUCAAGCUUAAUGAACUUUAGAACUUCAAACUUCUACAUUCGAUGCCGAAACCUAUCAAAUUAUGUUCGAUUGUCCUCAAAUUUUGCACACAAGUCAUAAUUGACAUUGUGGACCUACUCCAACUUCCGAAAUCGAUAUCUGACCCAGAUAUCAAAAAGUCCAUUCCCGGUCAAACUUUCCCAAAAACCUUUAAAUUCCCAACUUUCGCCAAAUGACCCCAAAAUGGCCUACGGACCUCCAAAUCAACUACCGGACGAGCUCCUAAGUCCAGAAUCAUCAUACAGAGCUAUUUCCAGACACAGAAUCCCAAACAGACAUCGAUAAAAUUGAAAUACACUUUGACCCAAAUUUAUGAAAUUCUUCCAAAUGCCAACUUUCCACAAUAGGCGCUGAACCGCUCCCAGGUCAUCCAAAACUCGAUCCGGACAUACACCCAUAUAAAAAAUCAUCAUACGAACCUGUUGGAACCUUCAAAUCCUGAUUCUGAGGUUGUUUACUCAAAAAUCAACCCUUAGCCAACUCCUCCAACUUAAAGUUUCUGAAAUUAGAAUUUUCUCUCCAAAUCAACUCCAAAUUUCCCGAAUUUCAAUUCCGACCACACUUACAAGUCAUAAUACCUGAAGUGAAGCUACUCAUGGCCUCAAACCACCGAAUGACGCUCUAGAUCUCGAAAUGACUGGUCGGGUCGUUACAUUCUCUCCCACUUAAACAUACGUUCGUCCUCGAACGUGCUAAGAACUGCUCUAGCGUUGUCCGAAAUCACUGUUUAAUACCUCAUGCACCUAACCGUGCUACCACAACCCAGUUGGGCACAUUAGCUCGAGCCAGUACAAAAUUCCUCCCUUUUAUUUAGUCAAAUAAGCCUUAGAGCCAAAUUCCAACAUCCAAAAUUCUCCACUAGGUAUGUUUCCAACAUACGAACACCGCAUCAAUCACUACACGAUGCACCAAUACAUGAUUGCAUACCUUUGCUGAAUUCACACCAUGCACCCUAUAAUUCACAUGACCAUAUAACAUCCUCCGAUAUUAAUAGCCGAAAUUCCACGAAUCCGAUGCACACAAGACACCUCAUGACACAUAUAACUCUUGUUCCAACUCUUGCAAUGCUGCCAUGACGGAAAAGAGGUGUAAAAAUUCAUAACCAACUGUCGAGUCAACAAAUCAUUGAGUUUCUCCUCUUGACAAGAACCAUUACCUCAUUCUGAACCAAAUAACGAUAUUUGCUCUUUAAUAUGCUUCAUAUAAAUCUGAUCACACUGAUCCUAGGUCCAAUAAUCUUGUCUUACCCAAUACAAGCUGCUCAGGUAAUAAGCCACCUCAGACACUGCCAAAAGUCUCAUAUGAUGCCACAAUGUGCUAACAAGCUACAAACUCGAAUGUGAUACAUAAGGAAAAAUGAUCUCUGGAAAGAACUACUCAACCCACGUAACUAUUUAAACAAUUGAAAAGAUGUCAUGAACCUUCCUCAGAAAAUGAGGGACAAAACACACGAGAAUAGAUAUAGGGAACUGUACUCCACAUCCCACGUUUGCGGUGUGCAACCCAAUCCACACAUGACAUAGUUGCGGCGUGCAACGUGAUCCAACCAUGAUACCCAUGGUGGCGUGCCACCCGAUCCAACCAUGAUACCCGUGGCGGCGUGCCACCCAAUCCAAACAACAUACCCGUGGAGGCGUGCCACCCGAUCCACACAUAAUAAUCUAAAGAAACCACACAUCGAUUCGUAAUGCUUAUACUCACGAAAUGCCCGAAUAUAACCCUUAAGCACGCCAAGUGCAUAAUACAAAUCCUGGGGAGAGGGUAGCGUCAUACGCUAAAAACGCAAGCGCAACUAAAGUAUGAUAUAUGAUCUGCAUCUCGAGAGCCAUCCGGCUCACAUAACACCAUCGCUACGCGGACCUCAACACAUUGUACAAACAACCAAGCCGUCUCACAACCCACAUGGCACAAUAGAGUAUUACAUGAAAUAGUUGGCGAUGAAAUUAACACCCCACGCCCGAAUACUCUUCCAUAAGGAAUGUUAUGCUGAAUGAACACACCCAGGCUGGUGUAGAGUACACAUCCACAUUUGGACCCAUCAACGAACCUCAAACCGAUUCUGAUCAUACCAUGCUUGGGCAAAUAACCUCUCAAGGAUCCAUAAUGACCCUUUUCCCCAUGACAUGCAAGAACAACCGUCGAAUCCGGAACAAACUUCCACAAUUCACAACCAACUAAAUAGAGCGCCUUUUCAGGACUAAACUCUCACAUUAGCGAUAGUACCAAAAUCUAAAUACUUGAUUUCAAUCUUUAAUCAAUCAAGUGACUACAUGUCACACUUACACAAUCUCCCCGUGGGAUACGCUUCCACGACCUUCCGCACCAGGUAACAAAUCUACACAUCCAUACCGCCGGCCACACUAAUGCUGUAAAGAAAAUCAAGAAUCCGCAAAUCAGUACACAAAGCCUCUUACACAGGACACCGAUCUCAGGUGAUGCUAAAGACAAUACCUACUGAUUCUAACCAUCUGAAUACUUUCCUGCUCAUCCGAGCUCAUGACAUUCUUGUCAACACCGAACCGCAACCUUGAUCCUCAACUUCCGAUUGCCAUGCCGCUCACUGCACCUAACAUGCCAAUACGUGGGAGUAAAUGAAUUCCAUAAUAACCCCUGAUCCACUAAUAGAGUAAACACUCCGUCAUAUAGCAACCUUUCACUUAACUUAUUUCAGGAGAACCAUUGCAACACGCAACCAAAUUCUCAUAACCGCAGAAAAUACAACCCCAAGUAGUGGUCUAAACCACCAUGACUCUUCUGGGAUCCAUCUACACAUAACUGGCCAUAAUAAAUCGAAUGCCUCCAAGUAAAAUCAAUUAUGGUGGUCGUCAAGCCUCGCACGUACCGCCACAACCACCUGUAAGACUUAACACGUUGAAGGAACUGAUCAUUGCCACUAUCAUGCUGAUUCAACCAUUGCUAACCGAUCCGACUUCUUCUAAUUUACUACGGACUUGCCUUAGGAAUAAUAAUAGCUCCAUUCAAAAAUGACGAACCUAAUCCGCACUUAUCCAGAAGGACCCUAUUUCACGAGAUCACAUUGUCUCAAAACCCACAAACCAUCUCAUACCAUCCUUGUGCACACAUUCGCAUCUUCAACUGGUACACCCAUUAUGAUAUUUCCUUUAUGAAUUUCAAGUUAUUUUCUCCCAUUCCUCCAAGGCUACACCGUAGAUCGAUGAUAGCAUAGAACACUCUAAGUCUCUUUCAUAAUCCACUACAUAGGCUCGAUACUUGACCAUACCACAGACUCGAAGUCCUUAGCCACCGCACUUUAAAUUUUUGAAUCCACUAGGAUCGUUGUUGAGAGUCACCCACUCUGACUUGUUCCCAAAUACAUCACAUCUACACGAAGCAUAAAUCCUGAUCCUCCCAAAUCCUGAACAUGAAUCGAUAAGGCCAAUUAUAGCACACAUUCCUCAAAUCCUUUGCUCAAAUCACCACGGAUGUUAUCUUUCCUUAGUCGUAAUAACCCACCAAUAUGUCGAUAACCAGAAACCUCACAUGUAGACGACCAUGCAAUCCAAUCGUAGGCGGUGGGGCUCUCCCACUUAGCUUGAAGCUACAAUUACAUAACCGUGGAACCUACAAAGAUUCCUUCUUCCUCAGUGACAUGACCUCGCGCAAUCGACCCGCCAAAUUCCUCAAAAUCUUCCUGUUAACCAUUUCAUGAAUGCUCUGAAUCACUAGCCACAUUCACAUGUUCGACCUCUUACCGGGUAGCCAGUAGAAUUCUUCGUAGAAGCUUCAUCAACACCACACAAUCAUUAACCUGCUCACCUGAGAUAACCCACCUGUGGAAAUUCCAUGCCGACAUCUUCCACCAACGUUGCACCGAGUACAAUUACCACGAAACCAAUGAAUUGUCCUGAGCCCGUGCUCAUUCACCAGCUGUACAAGUCCGUUCACUCCUCAUGGACAUCAGCUAAAGGUGCAACGAUACAUUCCAAUCGAAAGUCAUGUUGCCUCCCUCUUUAUAUUAAGCAACUCUCUCCUGUCGUAUCUAAUCUUCCUCAGUGUAGUAGCCAAUAUUCCAAAUUAGUCUGUAAACCUAGUCACUGUCCACCAUGAGUCUCAAAUCACUCUAAACUUUCCUUAAGGCGGGUAGCUCUCCUACCACAAAACCCAUAUGAUACUCUGCCACUCUCCCACUUUGGUCAAACCCUCUCCUUUAAGCAACUACUCGACUUCUCUUUCCUUACACUUGGCCUUCUAGGAAUUUAACCACCGCAAGAAACCUCUCACCUGCCCUUCCUCAUCCUUCGCUGCCCAGUUGUUGCCUUAAAUCAAAAUUUAUCUCUGUAGCACCUGAACCAACUGAUCGCCGCCAAUUCUAAACCUCCGCGAAGUUCAUCUUCCUUGAGCCAUCAAUAUUAGGAUCACCGAUUCGAUUCUGAACCACAGCACACUACAACCUCUGACAGCCACUUCCCCGGCACCAUUCACAAUACUAUGCCCCAAAGGCAAUUUUUAAGAAGGCCAUAACUCUAGCGAGCUUAACACAUUCAAUUAAGGACGACGACACCACAUCAUAGAUAAAGAUUCCACCACGCUCGAAAAUACCAAGUCUCGUUACUCCAUCAACCCAAACCUGAACAUUCUUAGUCCGAUUGCCUUUCCUCCGCUGGAAAUAAAACACUGAACCUCUAAAUCAUGCAUUGAUAAAAACCUCAUUUCGAAUCAUUCACUGCCCUGAAACGUAGACAAGUAUCCUACCAUUAUAUCAAUACUAUGCUACAACAACUCAUAGACAUCGUAGUAACCCGUGCACAGUCUCGAAACCAUAGAAAAUAUAGAUACUAAGUUGGAACAAAAGAACAUCCUUCCGCAAGGCGACGACAUUAGCCCAGUCGAUUAUGCAGGGAGAAAUAUCCUGCACUACAUUUGUAGUGCCAUUAAAAUUCCUCGAUUCCCAAUUUAUAAAAAGCGCUUCACAUCGCAUAAGAUUGAAUAUGAAAGAAACAAAGGCAUAAGCCUCAAACAAAUGAAAUCGUACGAUGAGGAAUCAAGAAAGGGAAGUGCUCCUAACAACCCUGUAGCCUCUCGAAGAUAAGUACAGACGUCUCCGUACCGAUCCGCAAGACUCUACUAGAGUUGCUCAUGACUCGUGAGACCUAAAUGAACCUAACGCUCUGAUACCAAGUUGUCACGACCCAAAUUCUAUUAGAGAUCGUGAUGGCGCCUAACACUGCUGUCAGGCCAACCAACAAUAAUUGAUUAACUUAAUUACUCAUUUUAGUAUUUUUGCAAUCAUAAUUACCUUCAAUUAAAUAGUAAGAAAUAGACUUUACAAAGUAAAUGAUAGUAUUUUCACAACUUAUAAUACUGAACAACCCAUAAGUACACCCCCAAAACCCGAUGUCACAAGUGCAUGAGCAUCAACUAGGAAGUAAAAUAAAAUAUAGCAUCUAUCCGGAAUACAAAUUAGACAGGAAAAAUAUAUAAGUAACUCUGAAGGAGACUCUGCUGGUUGCGGAUCAUAACAGGCGAUGCAGCUCACCUAAGUCCCCCCAAUAACCGCGCCUCUGCGCUCACAAGGCCACUAGAUAUAUAUGUACCUGCACAAAAAUGUGCAGCAAGUGUAGUAUGAGUAUGUAAAUCAACGCGUACCUAGUAAUUAUCUUGUCUAACCUCGAAGAAGUAGUGAUGAGGGGUUGACUCCGACACUUACUAUAGGCUAACAAUAAAAUAUCGAUAUUAUACUUAAGCACGGAUUGUAAGAAAUAGCUGUAAACACAAUAACAAGAAGUGAGUGAACAAUUCUUUUAUUAAUAGAAAAUUUUCCAAAUUUAUUCUCGUCAUCUAACAUUUUGUAUCUCAGGCCAAUGAAGCAAUAUCAAUUAUUAUUAAUUCCAAAGAUUAAUCAUGCGCAAAUCAUGUCGAGGUCAUACGACCCGAUCUAACAUAAAUAUUUAAAAUGUGCACUGCCAAGGGUCGAACGACGCGAACCAUAGAUGCAUCUAUUUGCUACCGAGGCGUUUGGCCCUCUCCACAAAAGAGUAAAUAUAUUUACAACAACCAAUUCAAGAUUUAUUAAGGGGCAAUUAGUCAAGGGAAUACCAAAUUCUCAUUAACAUUCAAGAAAAUGAAGUUUAGCCUUUUACAAUUCCUUUAUCAAGUUUCAAUAUGAUUUAAGCAAUUAAAUUAACAAGUAGGGCGCAAACAUCGUAAGUAUAACAUGAUUUGGAUCCUAGACUACCCGAACAUAAGCAUAAUAGUAACUACGCAAGGACUCUCGUCACCUCGUGCGUACGUAGCCCCCACAGAUAGAACCACAUAUUAAAUAAACUUACCUAUGGGGUUAAUUCCCUCUUACAAGUUUCGAAAAGAGACUUACCUCGCUCCGAAAUUCCAUAACCGGCUCCAAAGCCUUUCCAACAACUCAAACCGAUGCCCAUUACUCCAAAACUAGUCAAUAAAUGUGCAAAUCCAUAAAUAUAUACUCUAAUACUCCUUAAAAUCUAUUUUACAACAAUUUCUAACUUCGCUCGAAAAGUCGAUAAAAAUCGCCCUCGGGCCCACGUGCCCGGAUUCCGAAAUUUUUUAGAGAUAGUCGUUACCCAUAACAAUACGAACUCAAAUAUAUACUAUAUUCUCAAUUUCAUGUUCAAUUUCGUGGUCAAAUUCCAAAAUUACCAAAUUCUAGGUUUUCUAUCAAAAAUCCCACUUCUACAAAUUUUCAUGCUUAAAUCCGUAUAAAAACCAUGUAUUUAACUUAAAAUAGGUGGGAAUAACUUACCUUGACAUAGAUGAUGAAAACCCCCCAAUUGAAGCUCUCCAAAAAUCGCCCAACCAAGAGAGAAUUGAAGAAAAUGGGCCAAAUCCCCGUUUUAAAGAAACCUCACUGCCCAGCACAAAUUCCAUUUUUGCGAUGCGAAGGUCGCUUCUGUGACAGCCGCUUAUGUGGCUCCAAGUCUCGCACCUGCAAGAAACCAAGCCAAGAUUGCUGGCCGCUUCUACGGCCCUCAUGCGCAUCUGCGCCCACGCUUCUGCGGCUCUUCGUGCGCAGGUGCGGUCCCGCUUCUGCGAAACUUGACUGCAUCUGCGGUCCCAACCUUCCCCAGCCAAUUCUGCUUCUGCGCCCCUUCUUGGCCUCUUCUGCGGCUCCGCACCUGCGGCCAAAACCUCACAGGUGCGGUUACACCAGAUACCAGCUGCCUCAUCAUUCCUUUAGUCCAAAAGUUGAUCCGUUAACCAUCCGGAAUCCACCCGAGGCCCUCGGGACCUCAACCAAAUAUACCAACACAUCCCAAAACAUGACACGAACUUGCUCGAGGCCUCAAAUCACAUCAAACAAUGCCAAAACCAUGAAUCUCAUCCCAAUUCAAGCUUAAUGAACUUUAGAACUUCAAAAUUCUACAUUCGAUGUCGAAACCUAUCAAAUCAUGUUCGAUUGUCCUCAAAUUUAGCACACAAGUCAUAAUUGACAUUACAGAGCUGCUCCAACUUCCAGAAUUGGAAUUCCACCCCGAUAUAAAAAAUUCCACUCCCGGUCAAACUUUUCCAAAAACCUUUAAAUUCACAACUUUCGCCAAAUGACUCCAAAAUGACCUACGGACCUCCAAAUCCACUUCGGAACAUGCUCCUAAGGCCAGAAUCAUCAUACAGAGCUAUUCCCAGACUCUUAAUCCCAAACAAACAUCGAUAACAUUGAAAUGCACUUCGACCCAAAUUUUUGAAAUUCUUCCAAAUGCCAUCUUUCCACAAUAGGCGCCGAAACGCUAUCGGGUCAUCCAAAACCCGAUCCGGAUAUAUGCCCCAGUACAAAAUCAUCAUACAAACUUGUUGGGACCUUGAAAUCCCAAGUCUGAGAUCAUUUACUCCAAAAUAUACUCUUAGACAACUCCUCAAACUUAAAGCUUCUGAAAUUAGAAUUUUCUCUCCAAAUCAACUCCGAAUUUCCCGAAUUUUAAUUUUGACCAUACGCACAAGUCAUAAUACCUGAAGUGAAGCUACUCAUGGCCUCAAACUGCUGAAUGAUGUGCUAGAGCUCGAAAUGACCGAUUGGGUUGUUACAUAGGGUGUUCAGGCCAAACAUUGACUCGUUUGUCAUUAUCUUCAUUUAUGACAUUUUGAUCUACUCACGUAGCACAGAAGAGUAUAAGCAACAUUUGUGAGUGGUGCUUCAGACCUUGCGGGAACAUAAGCUAUAUGCUAAGUUCUCCAAGUGUGAGUUUUAUCUCGAUUCUGUAGCAUUCUUGGGGCAUGUUGUAUCAGGCGAGGGUAUUAAGGUGGAUCCCAAGAAGAUUGAGGCAGUUCACAGUUUGCCUCGUCCUACUACGGCAACUGAGAUUAGGAGCUUCUUGGGAUUAGCAGGUUAUUAUCGCCGAUUUGUGGAGGGUUUCUCAUCUAUUGCAGCACCUUUGACUAGAUUGACCCAGAAGGGUGAUCCGUUCCAUUGGUCUGAUGAUUGUGAGACGCGCUUCCAGAAGCUCAAGACAGCUUUGACUACAACACUAGUUCUAGUGUAACCUUCUAGCUCGGGGAUGUAUACUGUGUAUUGCGAUGCUUCACAUGUUAGUUUGUGUUAUGUAUUGAUGAAGGAAGGGUGAGUUAUUGCAUAUGCUUUACGUCAGCUGAAGCCCCAUAAGAAGAAUUAUCGUGUGCAUGAUUUGGAGUUGGCCGCGAUUAUUCAUGCUCUUAAGAUCUGGAGGCAUUAUCUUUAUGGGGUGUCCUGUGAGGUUUACAUUGAUCAUCACAGCUUGCAACAUUUGUUCAAACAAAGGGAUCUCAAUUUUAGGCAGUGCAGAUGGCUUGAGUUACUGAAUGAUUAUGACAUCAACAUUCUUUAUCAUCCGGGCAAGGCGAAUGUAGUCGUGGAUGCCUUGAGCAGAAAGGCAGAGAGUAUUGGUAGCUUGGCCUUCAUUUCAGCAGAGGCGUGGCCACUAGCUUUGGACAUUCAGUCCUUGGCUAACAGACUUGUGAGGUUGGAUAUUUUAGAGACCAACCAAGUUCUUGCAUGCGCCGUUGCCUAGUCUUCACUAUUUAAGCAGAUCAAGGCUCGACAGGUUGAUGAUCCACACUUGUUGGUCCUCAGAGAGAUGGUACAAUAUGGUGGUUGCAAAGAGGUUACUCAUCGGUGAGGAUGGUGUUCUGCGACUCCAGGGUUGUCUAUGUGUUCCUAAUGUUGAUGGCUUGAGGGAGAGGAUUUUAGAGGAAGCACAUAGUUCUCGAUAUUCCAUUCACCCAGGUGCUAUGAAGAUGUAUCGUACCUUGAGGCAACAUUAUUGGUGGCGGCAGAUGAAGAAAGACAUAAUUGAGUAUGUAGCUAGGUGCCUAAAUUACUAGCAGGUUAAGUAUGAGCACCAGAGGCCAGGUGGCCUACUCCAGCAGAUGACUAUACAUGAGUGGAAGUGGGAGCGCAUUACUAUGGAUUUCGUAGUUGGGUUGCUGUGGACCUUACGGAAGUUCGAUGUAGGUUGGGUCAUUAUUGAUAGAUUGACCAAUUUGGCACACUUCAUUCCGGUUGUGACUACGUAUACUUAAGAGAGGUUGGCCCAGAUUUAUAUUCAGGAGAUAGUUCGGUUGCACGGUGUGCCAAUUUUCAUCAUAUCAGAUAGAGGCUCUCAGUUUACUUCACAUUUUUGGAGAGCAGCACAAAGUGAAUUGGGGAACCGUGUAGAGCUCAGCACAGCCUUUCAUCCACAGACCGACGGGCAGUCGGAGCGGACAGUUCAGAUUUUGGAGGAUAUGCUCUUGGCAUGUGUGAUUGACUUCGGAGGUCAGUGGGAUCGUUUCUUGCCUUUGGUCGAGUUUGCUUAUAACAACAGUUAUCAGUCCAACAUUGAGAUGGCUCCAUUUGAGGCUUUGUAUGGUCUGCGAUAUUGUUCGCCCAUUGGAUGGUUUGCGCCCGGUGAGGCUAAGUUAUAUGGUACUGAUUUGGUGAAGGAUGCCUUAGAAAAGGUAAAGUUGAUUAAGGAGCGACUUCGUACAGCACAGUCCAGACAGAAGAGUUACGCAGAUCUGAAUGCGCGUGAUUUAUCAUUUAUGGUGGGUGAGAAAGUUCUCUUGAAGGUUUCACCAAUGAAGGGAAUCAUGAGAUUCGGGAAGAAGGGCAAGUUAAGCCCAAGGUUUAUAGGCCCAUUUGAGGUGUUGAGACGAGUUGGGGAGGUUGCUUGCAAGCUUGCCUUGCCUCCCAGUCUAUCGGGAGUUCAUCUGGUUUUCCACGUGUCUAUGCUCCGAAGGUAUCAUGCUGACUUGUCACAUGUUUUAGACUUCAGCACAGUUCAGCUAGAUAAGAGCUUGGGUUAUGAAGAGGAACCAGUUGCCAUUGCUGAUAGACAGGUUCGCCAGUUGAGGUCCAAGAAGAUUUCUGCUGUAAAAGUCUAGUGGAGGGGCCGAACAGUCGGAGAAGCGACUUGUGAGGCCGAGGAAGACAUGCGGAGCAGAUAUCUACACUUAUUCAGCAUUCCAGGUAUGAUUCUAGACCCGUUCGAGGAUGAACGUUUGUUUAAGAAGUGGAGAAUGUAACAACCCGACAGGUUGUUUUGCUUUUUAGAACCCCGUUCCCCUAAAUAAGACUCCCCAAAUCUGCUUUUACUCUUUUAUGACUUACGGGGAUGGUUUGUUCGAGCUUUGGAAGGGUUAGGGAUGAAAUCAGAACACUUGGUUCCUUAGGUUGGCCUUAAAAGGCUAAGUUUGACUUCGGUCAACAUUUUGAGUAAAUGACCUCAGAAUUGGAAUUUGACUGUUUCAAUAGGUUUGUAUGAUGUUUUUGGACUUGGGCGUAUGCUCGAGUCGGGUUUUGGAUGACCCGGGAGCGUUUCGGCGCCUAAUAGUGAAAGUUGGUUCUUUGAAGGUUGUUGAAGUUCUUUAAAUUUGGUUUGGAGUAGGUUUGGGGAUAUUGAGGUCCAAAUGGAAUUCUGAGACUGGGAAUAGUUCCGUAAUGUCAUUUAAGACUUGCACGCAAAAAUUGGCGUCAUUCCGAGUUGAUUUGAUAGGAAUUGGACGCGCGGAAGUAUAUUUAGAAGUUCUUGAGUUCAUGAGUUAAUCCAUGUGUUUUGGCAUCUGAUUCGUGGUUUUGGAUGUUAUUUCAGUGUUUUGAUCACUCGAGCGAGUUUGUAUGAUAUUUUUAGACUUGUGUGGGUGUUUGGUGUGGAGCCACGAGCGCUCGGGUGAGUUUCAGACGUUCGGGAGGAUGAGAAAAACUUUAGUUUUCUGGUGUUUCUUGGCAGCUGUUGCAGGUCUCGCAAAUGCGAGAAUUUGUUUGCAUUUGCGAACCUCGCAUUUGCGAGGAAGGAUUCGCAAUUGCGAAGAAGCCUGAGCUGGGCAGUGUUCGCAUUUGUGACACUUUGGUCGCAUUUGCGACCUUGCAGUGGGAGCCCAGGUUCGCAUUAGCGAUGAGUUUGUCGCAUUUGCGACCCUCGCAUUUGCGAACCAGGUGUCACAAAUGCGACAUCUGCGACCUGUACACAGCCUUAUUAAAUGCGAGACAUAGGCCAUUUAGCUCAGUUUCUUUCAUCUCUUGGGCGAUUUUUGGAAGGGGGUUUUCACCUAGCACUUUGAGGUAAGUAAUUUCUAUACAACAUGAGUUAAAUACAUAGCUUAUGGGUAGAUUAUAACAUGUAAAUUAGUGAAAAUUAUGGGUUUAUGUGAAAACCUAGGUUUUUGAUAAAAAUUAGAUUUUAGUAUGAAAUUUGUUAUGGAAUUUAGUAAAAAUAAAAUAUUUGAGUUCUUGAGGUUAUGGAUAACAAUUUUCUUCGAAACUUUCCGAUAUCCGGGGACGUGGGCCCGGGGGUGAAUUUUAGGAAUCCUGUAUUCGGCGUUGGGUAAUCCCUUUAAUAGUUGGAAUAUGAACUUUUGAACAAGUAUUAAUUUAUUUUUAAUCCAUUUGACUAGUUUUGGAUUGUUCAGCACCGAAUUAAGGGUUUGAGCACAAUCUUGGACCGAAAAUUAGGUUUUGAGACGAGGUAAGUCUCUUUUCUAACCUUGUAAUAGGGAAUUAACCCCAUAGGUGAAUUUAAUUAAUAUGUCCUUAUAAUUGUGGGGUUACAUACGCACGAGGUGACGAGAGUCCAUACGUAGCUACUAAUUCUGCUUAUGUCCGGGUAAGUUUUAGGGUUACACCAUGCUUUGUUGACAUCGCUAUUUGAUUAUGCUUACUAAUUGCCUUGGAUAGAGCUGAGAUUGAGGAUCUCAAUGGCUUUUAAAGUUUCUAGCAUAAUUUUCUUGUUUUGGAAAGAAUUGAGGGAUAACUUGAGAAAUAUAUGUUCAACCGCAUCGCAAUUAUAUUUCGCGAGCGGGGUAAAUUUCCACUACACUCAUGGGAGCGGGCCGUUCGCCUCGGCAGGUUAAUAGAUGCAUUUAUGGUUCAUGCCGUUCAACCCUCGGCAGUGCAUAUAGUAUAUUUUUAUGCAUUUUGGAUCGGGCCGUACGUCCUCGGCAUAAUUCAUGCGAAAUGAUACUGGAAAUUUCAAUAUGAUUGAUAUUGCUUCAUUGGUUUGAAAGAUUAAAAAUAUAAAAGGGGAGAAAUUGAUUUGGUAAAUGCUAUCGGUGAAAGGAUUAUCUAUUUUUGAUUCUUGCUUCUGAGUUCUAAUGUCAUUUAUAUAUCCCAUGUUUAAUUAUUAGUUAUAUACAUAUAUUCUCUAUUGUUGACCCAUAGUAAGUGUCAAAGUCGACCCCUCGUCACUACUUCAUCGAGGUUAGACUAGAUACUAACUGGGUACAUGUUGUUUAUGUACUCACGCUACACUUCUGCACUUAAUGUGCAGGUUCUGAGGUAGGUGCUUUUGAAUAUCAGUCUGGCGCGCACACUUGAUUACUAUUAUGAGACUUUGCGGUGAGUUGUCUUUCGAGCCCGUUCUGUAGUAGCCGAAGUCUUCCUUUUUAUUUAUUUUUUGUCUAUUUUGUUUAAAACAGCAGUGUAGUAAUCUUUGUAUAUUCUACUAGUAGUUCAUACACUUGUGACACCAGGUCUUGAAAAUUUAUGUUAGUAGGCACUUGAUGGUUUUGGGUUAUUUAUCUUAUCUCACUCGUUUUAAAAAUUUUGAUCUCUUAUUUUUAUAAAAUUUUCAUUUCUUAUUUUGUGCAUAAAUUGAAAAUCAACUACUUUAAACCGUUAAAAGAAAGAUCGCGGAGUUAUCUUAAGGCUGGCUUGCCUAGCGGUAAAUGUUGGGUGUCAUCAUGGCCUAUAGGAGAAAUUGUAUCGUGACAGUCUCGCUGUAUCAUCAUAAUGUGAUACUGGGGCAAUUCCUGCGAUUGCUGCUUCGUCAAAAUCUUCAUUCCAGAACUACAUGUGGCCUGAUCCUCGUUAAGCCUGAGUUAUGUAAGCAAUUCAAAGCCAGAAUUCGUCCCCAAUAUUCCCAAAAUCUUCCGAGAUUCUUCCUUAACUCAAUCCUGCAAUUCACAAUCCUCAUUACUGCAAUACAUGCCUGAAGUCAGGAUAAAAUUGGCUUUGGUUCAAUUUCUUUAUCCGAAAACUCUUUCAUCGUCUCCGGUCAAAGAGGGCAGCUAUUGAUUGCCAAUUUUGACCCUCCCCUUUUAAAUUAAUUUAUUUAUACUUACUAAUUUACAAUAAAUAUUUUUAAAGUGUUUUCCAGUAACAAAUACAUAUUUUUACGAAUUAAUUAAGUAUUAGUUUUAAAAUUAAUCGUGUAGUAUUAACAUAAUGUAAUUACAAAUAUAUUCAAUAUUUUAAGAUUAAAAUAACCCUUAUAUAUACAUUACAUAUGUCUUAUAAUUAAUUUAAUGAAUUACUCUUUAAUAUCUAGUUAAUUAGAUUAUUAUGUGAAAUUUAAAAUUAGUGUUGCAAUUUAGAAAACAAAGUAUUUUUAUAAAUAAUUAAUUAAAUAAUUAGUAGUAUAUAUAUUAAUUAUAAUUUGACCAUAUUUUAUUGAAAAGUGUUAAGUUUAUUUAAAUUAAAUUCAAAAAGGGAUUAAAAGACAAAAGGGCUACAAUUGCAAUUCUUAAUCAAAUAUAAAAUGGUUAUUCUUCAAAUUAUUUUCAGCCCAAUUGCUAAGGCCCAAACGGAAGAAGUCAGUCCAAACACCCCAUCUCCAUUCCAAUGUGGCAAUCUAGGCCACUCUCUUUGCACCAAUCAACUCGUACCACCUCACCUCUCUGUAGCACUCACACAAGAAACACAAUGCAUCUGAGUCGUUGGUCCAUCUAAUCAACGACUCACGUUUAUUCUCCAAUUCUUCUUUUGAUGUUAAUACCCCCCCCCCCCCAAAGAUCUCAUCCUCAUCAGGGCCGUUGAUCAUCAUAUCCAACGGCCCAAGCUCUAUCUCUCGUCAUUUAACCUAGAGACAAACCUCCCAAAACCCUAAUAAUUUCUCUUUGACACAGCCGCCCUCAUUUCCUUUUCCUCUCUCUUUUCUCUCAUCCCUUCCAACCCAUCAGUCAUGAAAACCCUGCACAAAUCAGUGCAAGGUCACUAGACCUUCACCAAAUCGUCCUUCCCUGUUUCUCCAUCCCCAAAUCCAGCUAAUUUUCCCUUUUUUCUUUUCAAAUCUGAGAGAUUAGACGCGGCUAGUAAGGUUGAAACCACAUUCUUUUCGAUCUUUCAAAUUAGACUUAUAGAUUCGUCUUAUUUGUCCCUAGAUGAUGAAGCUAGUGAGUCUAGUUUCCAUUUUCGUUGAUUAAAUUCAAAAACCCCAAUUUGAAACCCUAGACCUAAAUGAUGAAACUUCAUUUCAUCUAUUUUCUCCACUCGUUCUUCCUAAUCGGAGCAUGCAUGUGCACAUUUCAGAGCUUUAUCAUGAAUAUUUUGUACCCAGAGGUCAAACGUAGUGACCUGUGGGUUUUGGGGCUUUGUCCAAUGUGUUUUCCUUCAACGGUCAAUUGCUUUCCACUCAGGUAAAAGUUUCAUUCAUUUUCCCUCUGUUUCUUUCUGAUUUCACUGAAUCUUACUGUCAUCAUCGAUAUUUCAUCAAUUCCCACUAUUAUUUUGAAUUUGUGAAACCCUAAGAGCCUUAAUAGUACUAUAAAAGGGGCCUUUAAUGUUCUCAUCUACCACGACCUAACACUGAAAAAAAACAACCUAACAACAUCUAAGAGCAAUUCCGAGAUCCCAAACCUAGGAUUUCUUACUGAUUUCUUUUUUCGUUUCUAAGUACUUUCGCUGCUCCGAGCUUGAAGCCUUGGGGUCUUAAGCAACUAAGAGAUAUUCCUGUUUGUUCUACUGCCCUCAAAAAGGUCAGUACAUUCCUAACUUCUCUCCUUUGAUCAUCUUAUUAGAAUGCUAUGAACAUGCUCAUUGUCUUCUAUUAAUUGUAGUUGUUUGUGAUGUUAUCAUUGAUAUACAAAAUGUUAUAUCUAUGUUCAUGAUAAGGUGCUAUUGACUAUAACAACUCUUAUAUCUGAAUCCUAAUAGUCUACAUGAUUAAUUUCCCUUAAUGUGCUUUAAAUGACUGCUCAUAUUUUUCUAAACUUCAUAGUUUUUCAGUGAUGAUUCUGUUGUGAUCUCUACCUCUACAUAUUGUUUCCUGCCUUCUGUUUGUCUUGUGGUUAAGUUUAUUAUUUGAUAGUCCUAACUAAGAUCACCUGAAAAGUUCAUAAGUUCAUAUCACCCACCAUUUAACAGAAGCAUGAAAAAAUCUAAGUGUUUAGAUGCUUUCCUUCUCUAUACCUAUAUCUGCCAACUUUGAGGGCAACUUCUGGACUGUCACUAUGGCAUUCUCAUGAUUAUACCUAACUGUUGAUUGCCUCUGUAUGAAGUAGCCUUGUUUGAGUUGAACUUUCUUCUUUUCAUGAAUACCAAUAGUUCUAUUUUUUAUAUAUAUAUAUAUAUAUAUAUAUUCUAUUAAGAUUAAGUUAUCCUUUUCUUCAUGAAAUAAGUCAUAAUCAUGUUUGUUAUAGUUAACUAGGUAAUUGCUAUUAAGCUGAACUUAGUUGUCUCAUAUUAGUUAAAACCUUCAGUUACAUGUUUAAGUCAAAACCUAUUUGGUGUAGUGCUUUUUCUGUUUUUAAUUUCUUUGAUGCUACUACUACUUUAUAAAGCUUAUAUUUAGUUGUCAAUAAGGUGUCUUCCAUAAGGUAGGACCUAGUUAUUCUUGUUAUAAUCAAGUGUUGAUUAUUAAACUAAGUGUGAUUGCUUUAUAUCUAGAUAUUAAUUUAAGCUAUACACAUAGGUUAAACUUGUUUUGGUAUAAUACUUCCCUUAUCUGUCACCCCUCUCCCUUCAUAACAUGUUUAACUUGAUUCUGUAACAUGUAAAGUUCCUCUAUCUGUAUAAGAUUACAACCUCGCUUGAAGUAUCUAUGUAUAAUUGACUGAAUGUUGUAGGUUCCCUUGUUUGGCUUCCAGAUCCCAUGCUUGUUUUGAACUGCACUCAGUUCUCUCGCUUCUACUAUUCUGAAAUUGAAUCUGAUUUUCAAUCUUGUUAGAAGUUUUCCACUGCUACUAUCUGAGCAUAAUGGCUUAUUUGAGAUUAAUACUAUUAUUAAUAUAAUCAUGUUGACCCCUAUAGGGAUUCCAUGACCAAAUCUAUGAACCUGUAGUCGUAUUGAGAGUUUUGAUCAUGUUUCUGAUAUAUUUUGGUAACUUCUAUAAAAGUUUCUAGUUGUGACUAUUUGCCUGAACCUUUAUUAAUACCUCUUAAAAUUCCAAGUAGUGUUACUAAUCCAUGCAUGUGCUAGUAGAAAACUAAUCAGUUCAUAGUUUGUUUGCCAAGGCAGGAGCAUUUGUAUUUCUUGUGUUGCUACAUAUAUGAACUCUGUAUAGCUUACCUUCCCCUUGAAUGUGUUUUUUCCCUAAUGCUUAGACCUUUAACAGUAUGUUAUGAUGUUUCUGCUUCUCUCCUAUAUGUGCUCGAAGUCUGACUUUUAGGUUUUCCUGAUAUGUGUAUUAUUCAUUUGGUAUCAAAUAUAGUCUUUGUGCCUUUAUGUUAUUCUGUUAGAAGGGAGAGUGUACUUUUGUGGUAAGUGAUACUAUAGAAUUUAGUUUACAUUGAAAGGGCCUCAUUGGAAUUUAAACACAUAAGAAAAAAUAUGUUGUUAGUGGUUAGGGGUAUUUGGGAGUGGAUUUUAACUCUAAGUGGGGCUGCUUUCCCCGGCACAAACAUUGCCAUGGGCCUCGAGUCCCUUGGAAACUUUGAAGCAUCUGAGGAUUCAAAGGGGGCAUCGACCUUGAGUAGAACUCCCUCCUUAGCCUUUAAUUCAUUGACACUUUUGGUUCUUUAAGGGUUUAGUGUUUAAUGACAAUGAAAGAUUUUCAAUGUAAAUUAUUUUUCAUGUAUGACCACCAUAUUAGUAUAAUUUCUCAUAGCGUUAGACUAUUGAUAAUUUUAAUAUAUUUGGUUCCAGUCGUCUGUUUAUAUAUAGUUCAUACACGGUUGAAUAUGCUGAAAAUAUGGAGCAUGUAUCUAAUGAUUUUCUCUUUUCUUUUGGACAUGUACAUUAUUUGGGCCUGCUAAGUUCCUAUGAAACUCAUGCCCAAUCCCAGCCUUGUUGCACUUUUCUAGAGAGUCCAAAAUCAGCUGUAGCCGUAUCUCAUUACUGCUGGGCCUGCCUUCUUGAGGCCCAAUUACUAGAGUACAGUCCUCUUUCCCUCAAUUCCUUUGUUAUUAUAUAUUGCUUCCUUAAUCUAGUUUACUGCUUCAUUACCUUUUAUCUACUUCCUUGUUGCUUUGUCGCAUCUUUGUUGUCAUGUAUACAACACUCACAUAUUAGAUUACAUACUUUAUUUUCAUGCUUUAACAUCAUAUAAAACAUAGGCAAGCUUUAAAUAAUGUAGGAUUUAAAAGAAAUUAGUUAGUAAUUAAUCCUCACUUCGCUAAUUAUAAUUCACUCAUAUCAUUACUAUGUUCUCGCUCACUUUUUCUUUUCUUAAAAGAUUUUGAAGCGCAGAACUUAGUAAAAAUAGCGGCCCAUUUUCAAAAGAAAAUCAGAAUUGAAUCGCAAGCUUUACUAUCGUAAGGCAAAUCGGAAUUUUCAUAAAAGGUGAAGUACUGUCACCCCAAAAGGAUUUUCAAAAGACCGCUUUUCCUUAACGUUUUAAAAGCCAAACUAUAUCUUAGGCUCACUUUUCAAACACCUUUUAGAAUAACAUGAACACCUAUUCCCUAAAUCAGAUGUUUUCAUAACUUAACUUCUUUUCACAAGAUUUAUAAAAUAUAGAACAUUUACAUACAUAUUUCAAAACUUUUUCAACUAUAUCCACCAACAUAGACUCCUUUAUAAAUUCACAACCUUUUAAGGGUCUCAUGUUCCUUUUAUUAAUAUCAUGCUUUUCCUUAGAUAUACAGUAAGACGUGCUCUUUAAUAGUAAUUAAGCAUAGUACAAAUAAUUGAUCCCUUAAAAUUAGUCUAAGUCCCAUGGAGCUACCUCAGACAGAUUUUAAGGGGUGCCUAACACCUUCCCCUUAGAAGAACAAGAACCCUUACCAUAAUCUCACCGGUUAGCAGACCAAUAAUAAAUAUGACUUAUUAAUUAAAUAAGUACCCUAGUAUACCUUUAAAUAUUAGGUGACAACUCUCUUUUAUCAACAACAAAGAAACUACAAGUUGAAUCUUAUUUUGUGUAGUGCAAAAUAGGGUGCAACAUCGGGGACAUUGCGGUUAAUUUCCAUCUAAAGGUGAAAGUUUUGGUAAGUGUUUUCUCCAGAUCUUUAGCGUAUUAUCUGGAUUGGUUCGUCGUUCCACAAAAGACAUGUCGUUGGGUGCAUGACCUGUUGACAUUACAUUGGAUUUCCUAAUUAUGAGUCAAUACUAAGGACUGACACACCUAAGGUUUAUGCAGUAUGACCUAUGUUUGCUAAGAGUAGAGUGUUACCGAAUGUUGGAUUUGGACUGAAUAACUGCGAGACAUUAUGUCAAUUGGCCUGACAAAGUCGUUCUAUGAAGCUAGAGUGUUUUGAAAGAAGGUUCGGAGGGGUGUAAAAGAUAACCCUAGCAUGUCAUUCGUGUGUGAUUAUGUACGGCCAUUACUCGAGAGGAAAGAUGUGAUGAUAGUGUAUAAAGCGGUAACAAAUAAUUGUGGCAAAGUAGCAAUAAACAAGUAAGCAUGUUAAAAAGCAUAAGCAAGUGGAAUAAAGCGGGUAAGCAUGUAUUUUCAAGUUAAGCAUAAUUAAAGUAGAAUAUAACAAACAUUCCCAAAUUUCAAGUCUAGCCUAAAUCUGCUAAGUUCAGAACCUAAGUGUAAGAAUCCCCAAAUGAGUUGCCAUGUUGUUGUACCCUGUUUUUCACUCAUCAAUACAAAAUAUAACUAAUGAUUCUUCUGAAGUUGAUAAAGAGAGUCGCCACCUAAUAUUUUAAGGUAUACUAGGGAACCUAUGGGUUUAUAAAAUUAUUAUCCUAAUGGUCUGCUAACCGGUGAGAUUUGGGUAAGGGUUCUAGUUAUUCUAAAAGGUGUUAGGCACACCUCAAAAUCUACCUGAGGUAGCUCCUUAGGAUUACGCUAGGUUUGAGGAAAGAAGUGUCCAUAUUCGUCUUAAUCAGAUGCUUAAAGUCUAUAAAAAUGUAUGCUUAUAUGUUGAAAACUAGAUAUGUUUUUAAAUAAUCUUGUAAAGAACUCUUUGUUUGAAAGGAAGUUGAGGGUGCGCUUUACAAAGAUAAUUAUCUAUUUAAAGCUUAGUAGAGUGAGGGACUAUUUGAAAAUAUACCUUGAGUUAGAAUAGGUACUCCUUACUUGAAAAUCAAUUGUACUGAGAAAGUCUUGUGUUUUUGAAACUCAUUGACAUACACCAGUUUAUAAAUGCCGGCUAUGUUUGUUUUUUUAUUUUGUGAUGCAGCUUUACAAUUAUUCUUUUUGCAAUUCUGAUUUUCAAAGAGAUUUCGGGUUGCUUUUGAAAUCUGUCAAAGUCCAAACUUAUUGAAAAUUAUUAAUGAUAACAAGAUAAAGCCUUUCAUUAUCAAAGAGAUAACUUUGGGAAUUAAUUAGUGAUUCAACAUUAUCAGACCUAAAGUGAGCAGAAUUUCUAACUUGAUUUUACCUAUGGGCCUUGGUUUGCCUACUUCCCUAAAGAAGAUCAAAUUAUCAAAGAUAUCCAAUAAUGUAGUUAGUCAUUCUGGGACAGAGAUAUAUAUAUAUAUAUAUANNNNNNNNNNNNNNNNNNNNNNNNNNNNNNNNNNNNNNNNNNNNNNNNNNNNNNNNNNNNNNNNNNNNNNNNNNNNNNNNNNNNNNNNNNNNNNNNNNNNNNNNNNNNNNNNNNNNNNNNNNNNNNNNNNNNNNNNNNNNNNNNNNNNNNNNNNNNNNNNNNNNNNNNNNNNNNNNNNNNNNNNNNNNNNNNNNNNNNNNNNNNNNNNNNNNNNNNNNNNNNNNNNNNNNNNNNNNNNNNNNNNNNNNNNNNNNNNNNNNNNNNNNNNNNNNNNNNNNNNNNNNNNNNNNNNNNNNNNNNNNNNNNNNNNNNNNNNNNNNNNNNNNNNNNNNNNNNNNNNNNNNNNNNNNNNNNNNNNNNNNNNNNNNNNNNNNNNNNNNNNNNNNNNNNNNNNNNNNNNNNNNNNNNNNNNNNNNNNNNNNNNNNNNNNNNNNNNNNNNNNNNNNNNNNNNNNNNNNNNNNNNNNNNNNNNNNNNNNNNNNNNNNNNNNNNNNNNNNNNNNNNNNNNNNNNNNNNNNNNNNNNNNNNNNNNNNNNNNNNNNNNNNNNNNNNNNNNNNNNNNNNNNNNNNNNNNNNNNNNNNNNNNNNNNNNNNNNNNNNNNNNNNNNNNNNNNNNNNNNNNNNNNNNNNNNNNNNNNNAUAUAUAUAUAUAUAUAUAUAUAUAUAUAUAUAUAUAUAUAUAUAUAUAACAAACAACAUGAACAGAGUUAAAAAUAAAAUGAGGGGACAGAGGGUCAGACUCUUGGCGGUUUGGGCUUGGUAAAACUUAACCAGGCCCAGCAGCACUUGGGCUAAGCGACAGACUCCUAUGCGUGACAGGGAAGCGGGCUGGACUGGACUAGACUUUGGGCCUGAGUUCCCAAUGGAACUCAGUAGGCCCAAGUCAAAACAUGCACCAAAAAAAGGAUCAUUAGUGUAUAUCAAAUGAAAUAAGAUAGAGAUGAAGUCAAAUAAUAAAAAAGGACUAAAGAAUGCAAUGGGACAUAUUUCAUUUAUGUUAAUCCUAUGAGUAUUAAUAGGAAAUAAUAAUUAAAGGAUUCGUAUAAAUCCUCAUUUAUGGAUAUUAUUCUCCUUUGAGCCCUUGGCACUUUAGAGUUCACGAGGGUCUCACGGACCCUGAGCAGUGCUUGUGUCAAGGAGAGGGAUCAUAACCACAACAAGUUUUCACAUCCAAAUACCAUUAAUCACCUACUUCUAAUCUUACUCAAAUGCUUAAACACAAAUGAAUGAAAUAAAAGAGUAACUCAUACUACUAAGAUACAAAUCGUAGGUACAAGAGUCCUAGUGAGCAUUUUACAAAUUCAAACACACACAAAAUUCGACAACUGUGGAAAAAUAAGGCACUGCAGUUCAUCAUCAAAGCACAAUAGUAGCUAAAGGCACAGUAUUGACUGAACGGGGAUUCAAAUCAAAGUAUAGGAUAAAGGGUAGGCAUGAGAUCACUGUUGUGACACAAUAUCACAAAGUGCAGGUAGUAGGCAUGCUUCACUACUCAUGUUUCUUAGGCUUAGAAAUGUUAAUAGGCAAGUACUAAACAGAGAGGAGUUCAGGUACAUGUUCUGUUGGUUUCACUAUAGGGUUGAUGCUCAAAGUUCUCUUAGGCAAGUUCAGAUUAUAAGAAUAUGUGUCAAAUACUUCUAAGUCUAAGAGCAGGCAUACAUCUCACUAAGACCUAAUCACCUUAAUAGUUAAACUGGAAAAUCAUAAUAUAUUAACACACAGAUGUGCAAACAGAUUCACUUAGUACAUGAGUUAAUGUACAGGUCAUAAUAAUAGCAUGGCAUAGCUUAACAAUUAAAAAUAUUUAAACAAGGACAGAUCAUUAGGGUCAGUCUCUUAUAGGAUCACUUACUCAAACCAUUUCCUUACCACAGAAAGAUUUGGACUAUUAUAGGUGAACACAGAGAUGUAAGGAUAGGCUUCUUCAAGCUGCUGUCAUGAAAUACCCUAUGGGCACAACAGUACUAAUACAACAGAUGUGAACUCAGGUGUAGAAACUAAGGAGAGUCAUGAUAGCAAAGAUUUUCAUAUAGCAGGGUUCAAGUAAUCAGGAAAUGGUAUUCAUUCAAGAGAUUGAUCACAUUCAAAUCUUCUAACACAUUGAUAGAGUUCCUUAUAUGAUCUCUUUUGUUUCCAAUUAUCAUAAGAAGCAUACAGAAAUCAUUCCAUUAAUAUAAUAUGAACAGAGUACUAACUAAGUCAAGACAAGUCAUCACUAACACAAUCAUGUUCCUAGAACUAAGGCAAAAAUAGCACAACACAAACAUUAAGGUGGCUUGGUGUUAACAAGUUAACAUUGUUCCCAAGAGAAGCGUAACGGUCUGAUUUUAGAACUAGUUGCUUAACUAACAUAUUAUAUACAAUAUUGUUAACAUAGUAUUUAACAAAGACUUAACAGAGUCUAAGAAUAACAGCUAUACACAGAUUACUGGGUAUGUAGAAUAAGCAGUUUAUCACUCUCACACUUAUCAACAAAGACUUAAUAAAGUAGACAGGUUGAAUACAUGACAUGAAGUACAGAGAAUAUAUCUAUAAGAUUAACAUAAUGUCACAAGUUGGAGGGUCGAAUAACCUAGAGGUACAGAAGCACAAAGAGAGGUUCAGGAGCAUGAUUCAACUAGCCUAGCAAACAUGACUGUACUCAGGCUAUUCUUUUGAUUCACAUAAUAUCAUUAACAUAAGGUUUAGCCAUGAGAGAAUAUUAACACAAAACACUUCCAACUAACUAAGUCAUGAUAGAUAGAGUUUAUUAACAACAUCAAAACAACAUAGCUUAUCUAGAAAGUCUGCAACUUAAUAGUGAGGAAAGAAUACAAGAUAAGGCAUAACAAGUAUAAUAUAUGUCACAAACAACUGAUUACUAACAAAGAAAACAUCACAAACACAAGCCUACAUAAUUAAAGUGAGAUAAAGGGGAUCAGUGUGCACUGACCUUAUGCGGGGCCGCAAACCAAGAAAAAGUGAUUCAAUAGCUGUUUAAGAGACCCCAAUUCAAAACCAGUGCCACAUUGAACUCGAACUGGAGAAGAUAAAGAAAAACAGAAAGUUUAGUGAGUACUUAGUGAGAAACUUUGAACAUUAACAUUUUUAUUUCUUUCUUUUUGUGUUUCGGAGAGAGUUAGAUGUGUUGUUAGGUGAAGACAUUGAAUGUCCCUUUUAUAGUGGCAUUCAAGCCACUUAGGGUCAUCCGAAAUAUUCAAAAUCGAUGGUGGAAAGUGACGAUUGCAUGGAUGAUGAUAGCAAUAGAGGUGAAAUCAGUGAAGAAUAGAGGUGAAAACAUCAUAGAAAUUACCUGGGCAUGAGGGUCGACCAUUGAAGCCUUUGGACUACCGGUCAAACCCUAAUAUCCAGAGGUUACUGCAUUUGACCUAUGGAUAAAGAAUAACAAUGAAGAAAUUGGAGAUAAACAACCAUGCAUGCCAUGGAUUUGAAAGAUCGAAGGAAGAACAAGCGAUUUUCAGUAGCAUCUUUUAGGUCAGGGGUUCAAUUUGGGGAACUUGAAAUUUAUUGAUGAAAAUGGAAGUAUCGGUAGGAUUUGCGGAUGUAUGGGACAUAUUGAGUGAUUUGGAGUUUGAAUUUGUGACCUUGCACAAAUUUGUACAAUAAUUUGUGACUGACGAGGUCAGAUGGGAUAAGAGAAAAGAAAGAGAAUUGAGAAAGAGAGGCGGUUGGGUAUGGUUGAGAAUGAAUGAGGGUUUAGGG